rnacentral:snoRNA from 1 species
ACCCUCCAGAUUCCUUAGAUCUUCCUUAGAUCUAACUAUUGGUCUGAGUAGCUAAAGGGGAGGAAAAGUAAAACUAAACCAGGCUUGGCAUCUUUAUUGAGUUUCAAGUUCUUUUAAAACAUUG